rnacentral:rRNA from 1 species
GACGAACGCUGGCGGCAUGCCUAAUACAUGCAAGUCGAACGCACGAAGUUGAAAAGCUUGCUUUUCGACCAAGUGAGUGGCGGACGGGUGAGUAACACGUGGGUAACCUGCCCAUAAGAGGGGGAUAACAUUCGGAAACGGAUGCUAAUACCGCAUAUUUCAAGUGACCGCAUGGUCGCUUGAUGAAAGGUGGCUUCGGCUACCACUUAUGGAUGGACCCGCGGUGCAUUAGUUAGUUGGUGAGGUAAUGGCUCACCAAGACCAUGAUGCAUAGCCGACCUGAGAGGGUGAUCGGCCACACUGGGACUGAGACACGGCCCAGACUCCUACGGGAGGCAGCAGUAGGGAAUCUUCCGCAAUGGACGAAAGUCUGACGGAGCAAUGCCGCGUGAGUGAAGAAGGUUUUCGGAUCGUAAAACUCUGUUGUUAGAGAAGAACAAGGAUGAGAGUAACUGCUCAUCCCCUGACGGUAUCUAACCAGAAAGCCACGGCUAACUACGUGCCAGCAGCCGCAGUAA